rnacentral:rRNA from 1 species
UGCGUAGGCGGGUCUUUAAGUCAGGGGUGAAAUCCUGGAGCUCAACUCCAGAACUGCCUUUGAUACUGGGUAUCUUGAGUAUGGAAGAGGUAAGUGGAAUUCCGAGUGUAGAGGUGAAAUUCGUAGAUAUUCGGAGGAACACCAGUGGCGAAGGCGGCUUACUGGUCCAUUACUGACGCUGAGGUGCGAAAGCGUGGGGAGCAGACA